rnacentral:rRNA from 1 species
CUACGGGUGGCUCCAGUGAGGAAUAUUGCACAAUGGGGGGAACCCUGAUGCAGCAACGCCGCGUGGAGGAUGACGCAUUUCGGUGUGUAAACUCCUUUUAUAUGUCAAGAAAAUGACGGUAGCAUAUGAAUAAGCACCGGCUAACUCCGUGCCAGCAGCCGCGGUAAUACGGAGGGUGCAAGCGUUACUCGGAAUAACUGGGCGUAAAGGACGCGUAGGCGGGUUGGAAAGUCAGGUGUGAAAUCCUACAGCUUAACUGGAGAACUGCACUUGAAACUUCUAAUCUAGAGUAUGGGAGGGGGGGAUGGAAUUAGUGGUGUAGGGGUAAAAUCCGUAGACAUCACGAGGAAUACCUAAAGCGAAGGCGAUCUCCUGGAACAUUACUGACGCUAAGGCGUGAAAGCGUGGGGAGCAAACAGGAUUAGAUACCCCGGUAGUC